AGGGAUAUAGUUCAGUGGUUACAGCACUUGCCUAGCAUGCAAGAGGCCCUGAGUUCAAUCCCCAGUACCAUGA
rnacentral:tRNA from 1 species